AUUAUAACACAUCAAAUACCGCCCGUCAAGUCAGGGGAGUUGGGAGUGCCCAAAGUCUCACCAUGCGUGGGCCUAAGGCAAGCUCAAUGACAAGGACUAAGUCGUAACAAGGCACGGGUAGCGGAAGCUGCUCGUGGAUUAUUUCAAUU
rnacentral:rRNA from 1 species